AAGACCUUGCACUUUUGGAGCGGCCGAUGUCUGAUUAGCUAGUUGGUGGGGUAAUGGCCUACCAAAGCUUCGAUCAGUAGCUGGUCUGGGAGGACGGCCAGCCACACUGGGACUGAGACACGGCCCAGACUCCUACGGGAGGCAGCAGUGGGGAAUUUUGGACAAUGGGCGCAAGCCUGAUCCAGCCAUGCCGCGUGAGUGAAGAAGGCCUUCGGGUUGUAAAGCUCUUUCAGUCGGGAAGAAAAGGUUGCGACUAAUAAUCGCAAUUCAUGACGGUACCGAAAGAAGAAGCACCGGCUAACUACGUGCCAGCAGCCGCGGUAAUACGUAGGGUGCGAGCGUUAAUCGGAAUUACUGGGCGUAAAGGGUGCGCAGGCGGUUUUGUAAGUCAGAUGUGAAAUCCCCGGGCUUAACCUGGGAACU
rnacentral:rRNA from 1 species